rnacentral:rRNA from 1 species
UACGUAGGGUGCAAGCGUUGUCCGGAAUUAUUGGGCGUAAAGAGCGUGUAGGCGGCCCGAUUAGUCCGUUGUGAAAGUCCAGGGCUCAACCCUGGAAUGCCGGUGGAUACUGUCGGGCUAGAGUCCGGAAGGGGCGAGUGGAAUUCCUGGUGUAGCGGUGAAAUGCGCAGAUAUCAGGAGGAACACCAAUGGCGAAGGCAGCUCGCUGGGACGUGACUGACGCUGAGAAGCGAAAGCAUGGGGAGCAAACAGG